UGGAAAUGGUUUCAUCAGGAAUUUUAAAGGGCGGUAGAAGCUCCACUCUUAAAACUAGUUGUUUUUCAUUGGUUAUGGACCUUUUCGUCUUCUUCCGGGGCUGCUUGUAAUUUUCUUUCAUGCCGGGUUUAACCAAUUGUAAUAAAAUGAAAUGCCAUUCAAGAGAGUGAGAUUUCAAUACGAUCCCACAUCUACAAACAUGCAUCAAAAUUGAUUAACAUAUUAUUUAUUACAAGUAGACAAUGGAUUAGAUUAAGGUAUUUUUAAAUGAGUAGACACAUUCUAAAUUUUUUUAUCUCGAAAAAUUAUCUCAAAUGAUGUGACAUUUAUUAAUUAGUUAGUGAAACAAACAAUCAAUUCACUUAGAUCUUAUAAACAUUUACUAACCACUCAUAAAUGCUACAUCAUUAGAAUGAAAUUUUGUAUAAAAAAUUUGGGAUGCCCAUCAUUACUCUUUUUAAAUAUGACAAAAAAUACGAUUGUGUAUAAAAAUAUAUAUAAACCAGUGAUACACAAAAGAUAUACGAAUGAAUGAUUCAUUUUCCAACAAAAUGGAUGCAUAUAACAAAUGAGAACUAAUCAGGAGAUAAAACUCUCUAAUUAUCCUUCAUCUUCAGAUUUGUUCCAGUGGUACAUGAAUAGUAGUGUUGAGAAAGGAACAUACCAAAAAUAAACUUCAAUAAUGCGUAAUUAAGCUACAUUUUUUUCUCUAUCAGCGUGAUCAAAAUGAGAGUAUGUACAACAACAUAACUAUAGGAACUAAGUGGUAUUAUUAUUAUGCAAAUAUGCUUUCCAUGGCGAUAUAAAUAUACUCUCCAUGACAAUAUCACUAGUCGCAUGACCAAAAAUACCGUCAUUCACAAUAACCUCUCAGAGCCCGUUCAGAAGAAAUCAUUCAGUGUGGAGAUACGAGACAUGAAGCAAUCAAACGUCUCUAACAAUAUAAAUAUGCUUAGUCAUCAAUUUACCCCUUACUUACCCCCUUACUUACCAACUAACAUUUUUUCUUUUUUUAGUUUGGAGAUUAAUAAAGAAGAAAGAAUCUUGAAAACUCCUUCAUUUGCUACGAAACGCGAACUGUUUUCAACUAUACGAGAGAGACUUGAUCUUCUCUUUUAUCUCCAAAAUUACAACGAUUCAUUUCUUUAAUUUGCCUAGUAACAAAAAAAAAAGAGGUAGAACGUCAUCAUACUGCCCAGGAACCUUACUAGCUUUCUUUCCUUGCCCAAUAGGAAAAAUAUUAUUCUCCAUUAACAAACAGCUACAAAGCUUGGAACAUCCCGAAACAUUGUUCUCCAUUUCCCCAUCUUUUUAUUAUUCAUGGUAACAUUGCACUCUAAUUGAGAUAAAUGCAUGUAUCCGCAACUAUAUUAAUUGAGGAGACAAAUUAAAAUUUCCCAGGCAUGAUGAAUCAAUUAUCCACAGGUACAAUUAAAAUUUCAAAUGGACAUAUUUAUGUAAUUCCUAAAGCCUACCAAGCUUCUUAGUUAAUCUGCUCAAAAUAGAAUAUUCUAUAGCCACAUUUUGAUAAAUUGGGGUUGUUCAAGUCCUAUAUUCUUUGAAUGCUGAUUCUUGGAAUUGGUUGCUGAGUUUCCAAUUAUUAAUUGAACUAUAGUGAUUAACACACACACAUAUUUAUGAUUAAGGUACAGUCAGAUGUAAUCUUUCGUUUACUAAUAAACUACAACAUGUUUCUUUUGCUAGCUAGCUAGUUGGUUUUUAAACAUAUAUAUGAAUUAUCUAACAGUAUAUAACAAUACGCAUAAUCCAGGUUAAACUAGAUUAAAUUAAACCGAAGAAUUAUGAAGCUUAAAAGUCACAAAGUAGGCUUUUCUAUUACAGUACUGCAAAGAAUGCAAAUUCAAUUUACCUUCUCAGAUCUCGUAAAGCUAUAUCAUUAAUUGGACCUUAAUAAAUACCCGAAGAAGGAAGUAUAAGAACCCAUAGAUGUAUUAAGUACUUCUCCCCCGAAAGCUUAUAUUAAUGGAACAAAGCAACUUGAGACACUUCCCAAUAAGCCAAUAGAGGAACAAAUCCACAAGUCAACAAGAUUUUCCUUUUUCAGGAAUUAAUAGGUCUACCAUUACUCAACAUGCAUUAUAAAUCAUCCAAAAACUAGGAUAAGUAUGGAAAGAAAAAAGAGAGAGAGAGAGAGAGUGUGUGUGUGUGUGUGUGUGUGUGUGUGUGUGUGUGUGUGUGUGUGUGUGUGUGUGUGUGUGUGUGUGAGAGAGAGAGAGAGAGAGAGAGAGACACUACUAGAAAAAUGGGCUACCAUGACAGAGAAUAUCUGUCAUCCGACCCCUCCUAUGACAGAGUUUCCAUCUGUCAUUGUAGCCCGUCUCACAAAUCUGUGACAACAUUUUAUCUAUCACAUGUUCCCAUGACAGUGUAUAUUUAUCACACAUGUGUCACGAACCAAGCGACGUCAUUUCGAAAGACUUUCGAGAAUUAAUUGGAAAUUUUAGCGGGUUAUUUAAAUUAUUUUGAAUUUGAUGGGUUUCUUCAAAAGCUGUCAUAUAUCAAUGAUUCACAUUCUCUGUCAUGAGAUUUAAGGUUUAAAAAAGAAUAAAAUUAUUAUUUUUAAUUUUGAAAUUAUAAUAAUAUUAAUUAUUAUUAUUAUUUAAAUUCCAGAAUUUUGAAAUAAAAACCACAUUUAAAACUUGAAUUAAUUGAAAUAAAAAUUACAUUCAAAUUCAUAAAAACUAUCAAAUACCAAAUUGUGUGAUGCGCUAAAAAUUUCAAUCACUUGAAACUUCCAACAAAUAGCAUCACAAAAUAUAUGGUGAAUCAAAUCCGUAUACAAUAUCUAAUAAAUCCUUUACAAUAUCCAAUCACCAACACAUCACUAGAAAAACAAUUAAUCCAUAAAAAAAACACUCUUAGAAAAUUCCCGAAAGCCACCAACAUCACCUGAAACAUAGGUUACAAUAAAAUGAGUGCCAAAAAAAUACAUAUUAAUAUAUUGCCCACUUACAAUUAAUCAAAUUCAUAAUAAAAUUCAUCAGUGUCUAAUUGAUUUAAUCAGCUUUGAUACUAAAGGGAAAAUGAGAAUAAACAACCCAAGAGAAAAUAGAAAAUCACAUUCGACAAUUGACAUAAUGAAGCAGUAAGCUCACAAGCUGUAAAAGAGAAAAAGGGAAGAAAAUAAAAAUGAUGAUAAAGCAGUAUAACCUGAAUGCUUAUGUAGCAGUGACAGUUGACUAGGUCUUCCUAAGAGUUGCUGGAUUAUAAAAGAUUAAGUAUAAACAAAAUAUUUUGCAACAUAGUACAUAGUAAAGAGAAAUAUAAAACCAAGUGCAAUUAAUGCCAAAGACGAGAAGAGAACUUUUAGUCUAGCCUUCUACAGAUUUCAAUUCUAAAUUUCUAGAUGAAUUUUUUUAAAGAGUAGUUUUUCAAGACUACAAUUUAAUUAAUGCACAACAUCUAACCUUCCAUAUAUAAUUAAAUAAAAUCCAUCAAAAUCAAGCUAAUAAAAAGAAAGGAAAAAGUUCUAAAAAUACAAAAGAUAAAGAGAAAAUGUAGAAAAUUCUGGAAUCACCAGAAUCUCCUCAAUCUACCAACUUUAAUACCAUGAUUGUAGGCUUGCCAAUCUAAGCCCAAAGCGUAAAGCAUAAUCUAAAGUUUCCAGUGGGUGAAGAAAUGAUGAUCUCUCAAUCAAUUCAAAAGGCAAAGACAUUGUCGAGCGCAUAAAUUGUUAGCUUCUCUUCUACCACAUCAGAUCCUUGAUGCAAAAUUCAAUGGGCAAGUAAAGGGACACAUUGAGAUAAAUAUUGGUCAAUUUAAGAAUUGAAAAUGGUGGAAAGAAGUUUAAAUAUUAGGACAGUCCAGACCAGGGGUUAACAUGAUAAUGAAAAAUUAUAAAUCUCAUGAGUUAUAUAUAUACAAAAACCAAAAAAAGAUAGAUAGGCUGGAAUCUCUUGGUUCUUAGGAGCAAAAGUAUCAUUAUUUAUGGACCAGCUGUUUCAAUUUUUCCAAAAUUACAUCUUCAAUUUAGCUUUACAAGACCAUUCUUUGCUCUGCUAGUUUACCUAGUCACCAACUCUGAUUGUCCAUUUAGGAUUGAAUCUAUAUACUCUUAUAUAAUGUCUCUUCUGGAGGAAAUAAGCAGAAAAAAUAUUCUAACUAGAUGAGACCCUUUAGUGUGAUGAUGCUACGCAAUGGAUGCUUUAAAUGCAUCCAAUUUAAUUUAUGAUGCUAAAGGACCACCGAGUACUGAGGACUAGUAAGUGCAACAUGGACCACAAACCAAAACAUUUCCAAUUAACAUAGCACAAUAUGUGACAAAUCAAAUUGAAAAAAAAAAUCUUCCAAAAAGUUCAACAUGUCAAUUAAGAGAAAAAUAAUAGGAUGCACAUUAAUACAUCCAUAAACAGCCUAGUUUCUCUAUCAACAAGUUAGUCAUAAGCACGAGUCAAAAUAAAUCAUUUGACUGAAAUGGUAGAAGACCAAGCAAAUAAAUGCAAGUACCACCACACAAAGCAUUUGCAUUUCCAAAAGUGAAUUUCAUAAAUUUUUUGCAGAAGAUAUCUUUCUAAUAAAAAAAAUAAACACAAGUACCAGUCAAUUGUAAUGGGUUUGAGAACCACAUAUACCUCUAAAUUUGAUUAAAACCUUGAAGUCACAGAGGAAAUUUUUCAGUGUGUUAACAACAUUGAUAUUCAGCAAGGCUUUGUGUAUGAGAUUCAGCUUGUGCAGCUUGGGCAGUGACCUGUGCUAGGGCCUGCUAGUGCUUCAUUCUAAAGGCUCCCUAGGUUGCAUCCAAUGAAUCAGGGAAAUUAGUAAUAGAUGAACGCAAAAUUUGGAUACCCAAGUAACAUAAUGCCAGUGAGGCAUGACAUACAAAGCAAUAUAGACAAUACAAGUUAUCACUCACUCAUUCAAGCUCUGGUCAUCAAAUUAUAACCGGAAGCUAAUACUCUUUCAUUCUUGGUUGCUAAUAAAGUUGUGACUAGAUUGGAGAAUUUCUCACAUAUUUGGCUUAAAGCUACAUAAAGAUCUCUAUAUCUUAGAUAUGGGAGUUAAAAGUGUUCACUGUUUACAUGAAGACAAUUGGAUCUCCAACACUAGUAAUACCAAGAGCUUUUCUUUCAUUAAUUGUUUGCAUUAACCAUAUGCUUCAUCUAAAAAGGGAUGAAACUAAAAUCAGGAAAGAAAAAUGCCCGAUUACCAUUAAAACUUGACCUGGAUAGCCUACUAUCCAGUCCAUUUGGAUAUUUAGAAUACCAAAACAAGAUGAGAUUAUCUCAGCAAUGCACAAUCACAUUACAACAUUGCUCAAAAUGUUCUUCUUUCAGAUUAAUUAAGUCAAGAGUUUUUAUCCCAAUUACAGGGCACAUUUAUAAAUUCUAUAGUAAACGGUUCAGCAAGCUCUAAUUCAAAAUUCCAUAGUAAAUGCUUCAGCAAGCUCUAAUUCAAAAUUCCAACCGACUGCUAACAAAUCAAGGCAAUGAAGAAAAUUCUCCAUCCCUCCAAAAAAAAAAAUCAAAAUUCAAACCCAAGGAUUAUUAGAAUUUAAAUGCGAAACCCAAUAAAAAUGAAAGCUUUCCUAAACAAGCUAAAAUCUAAUGAAUAAAUGAAGAAACUUUAAGUCUGACAAAGUUAAAUUGAAUUACCUGUGUAGGCGAAAGCAAACUGAAAUUUAGCGAGUCAAGCAGAAUUGCGGGGCUCAACCUGGGCGGCACCUCAAAAAUCGACGGCGGUUGAGCAAUCACCAGACCAGCCGAUAUAUUCUGAUCAGAAAACCCCAAACCCUAGUGUACAAAUGAAGGAACCCAUCAGCUUACUUCUCACAAAAGAAGACAGUAACAGCAACUCGAACUCGAAGAAAAUCUAAAUUAAGAAGACAUUAGCUAUAGCUCGGAGUUGAAGAAGGUAGCAGGCUAACGGCAACAACCAUUAAGUUGCGAAACAAAAGGAAAUGGGAAUAGCCAGCAAGCUAGAGAUCGGGGAUGAGGACGAAGACGAAGACGAAGAGCAGCAAUUUGUUGUCGGCAAGCAGCACAGCAGAUGACCAAAUCUGUGUAGGCAGCGUGAUUGUGUGUUUGUGUGUGAUUAGGUUUGGAUUAAGAAAUUAGGGCUUGCCAUGUGAAGCCGAAGGGGAGUCCAACACUUAAAUUUUUUUUAUUGGUAUCAAGAUACGGUGUCGUUCCAUGCCCAAAUUGGCCCAUUAUAAAUUCAAUGUUUCAUUAAAUAUUAAUAUGCUAUCAUGUGUAUUUGAUAGAUAAAUAAACUAUCACAAAUCUAUCAUGUCUUUACGAUAUAUGAACAUUCUAUCACAUGUCUGUCAUAUUUUUAUGAUAAAUGAUUAAUUUUUUAAAAUCUAUCACAAAAAUUCUAUCAUAGUAGCCUAUUUUUCUAGUAGUGAGAGAGAGAGAGUUAAAAGGAAUCUGCAUUCAAAAAAGGAAAAAGGGAGAAAAUAUCGAUCAAACCUCUUCUUUAGGUGAUUUCAAACGGGGGCAUUGGUUUUUGAUCUAAAGAUGACUCCAUGGACAAUUAAUUUACUGAAACACCAACACACUAUUUGAAUAUUUAUUUAUUUAUUUAUUGGUUAUGUAAGAAUUAUUUUCAAUAAAAGAACUCGAAUUGGGGAAGAGAAAGCUAGGAGACGACACAGAUAAGAGAGUGACUUACAGUCCUUAUGUGCAAUAUGGUCCAAUUCUUCUCAAUGAAGAAAACGUACGACUCUUGUUAUCUUCAAGAAUUAUGGACCAACUUAAACGUGUUAACUGUCACAUGCAUGCGGAGCCCUUUUUUUUAUAUAACACUGUUAUGCCAAUGAUAUUAUAAAUUAAUAAUUUGCUAAAAUAUUAAUGUAAUUGUUAUGAUAAU
rnacentral:lncRNA from 1 species